UACAAAGUGUCUGACGUCACCCAGUAUGC
rnacentral:sRNA from 1 species